CAGUCGCCGCGGUAAUACGUAGGGUGCGAGCGUUAAUCGGAAUUACUGGGCGUAAAGCGAGCGCAGACGGUUAUUUAAGCAGGAUGUGAAAUCCCCGGGCUUAACCUGGGAACUGCGUUCUGAACUGGAUAGCUAGAGUGUGUCAGAGGGGGGUAGAAUUCCACGUGUAGCAGUGAAAUGCGUAGAGAUGUGGAGGAGUACCGAUGGCGAAGGCAGCCCCCUGGGAUAACACUGACGUUCAUGCUCGAAAGCGUGGGUAGCAAACAGGAUUAGAUACCCGAGUAGUCCCUGUCUCUUAUAC
rnacentral:rRNA from 1 species